AACGCACGAGACCUGCGGACCUGCGGAAGGAUCAUUACUGAGUGUAUUUUUUCUGAAUUGAAAGAUUCAUGAAAAGAAACCUCCCACCCUUUGUUUAAAAGACCUGUUGCUUCGGCAAGACUGAUAUUCUUAAUUGAAUAUCUGUCGACUAAAAUUCAAUUUUUAGUGGGCUAGUUUUUUGCUUGCCGAAGUUUUUUAACAACUCUUUUUUUUGAAUAUUUGAUUUGAAAAAACAAAAAA
rnacentral:misc_RNA from 1 species